GACGAACGCUGGCGGCGUGCUUAACACAUGCAAGUCGAACGGAAAGGCCUGCUUUCCCUUGUGGAUUGCGGGUGCUCGAGUGGCGAACGGGUGAGUAACACGUGAGUGAUCUGCCCCCAACUUGGGUAUAAGCCUGGGAAACUGGGUCUAAUUCCCGAUAGGACUGCAGGGUGGUGCCUGUGGUGGAAAACGAUUUUCUAGUGGUUGGGGAUGAGCUCGCGGCCUAUCAGCUUGUUGGUGGGGUAAUGGCCUACCAAGGCGGCGACGGGUAGCCGGCCUGGGAGGGUGGGCGGCCACAUUGGGACUGAGAUACGGCCCAGAAUCCUACGGGAGGCAGCAGUGGGGAAUAUUGCCCAAUGGGGGGGAGCCUGAUGCAGCGACGCCGGGUGGGGGAUGACGGCCUUCGGGUUGUAAACUCCUUUCGACCGCGAGGAAGCCACCUGGUUGGAAGGGUGGUGACGGUAGUGGUAGAAGAAGCACCGGCUAACUACGUG
rnacentral:rRNA from 1 species